rnacentral:rRNA from 1 species
GCACCCAAUAUCACCCUGAAUGUGCUCGAUCUCGUCCGAUCUCUGAAGCUAAGUAGGACACGAGCCUGGUUGGUAAUUGGAUGGG